rnacentral:lncRNA from 1 species
CCUCAAAUGCAGAGAACUGACUCUAAAAAUAAUUAGAUUAACAACAAAAUGAAACUUUUAUAUCCCUAUUUAUUAAAUUGUUAACUUGCAGAAUAAUCAAAUUAGAAAAAAAGGUUCUCCUUUCAAUGGAAAAGCCAAUCACAGAAGCGAAUUUGCUUCCUUGUAGACCAACAGAUGGCCGUGAACCGCGGCCAAACGCAGCAACCAAAGGGGACAAUACCGUAGCAGAGUGUCUCAAGAGCAAAUCCUAAUCAAGAAUCAAGAUCCACCCCCCUUAAUCACUAGUUGUACUUUUGUUUAAUUAUUUAUAAUUAAUGUAAUGCAGAUUAAGAUGAGAUUAAAGAAAUGGACUUUCACCUGUGUUGUGACUGUGUUGUGUUUCUUCAAGUCUCAAGUUCCAACUUUGAAGCACAUGUUUGUGGUACUAGUUUAUUCAAGCCGUAGAAGUUUGG